GGGGAAGCAGACACCAAGUGUGAGCAGAGGCAGCAGCAGCAGCAGCAGCAGCAGCAGCAGCAGCAGUGGAGGUAGUGGUGCUGAUAGCAACCGACUAAUAACAAGUGCUGUAGUUUUCCAUUGCUGUAACAAAAUACCCAAGGCUGGAGGCAUAAAGAGAAGAGAUAUCAUGGCUCUCAGUUUUGAUGACUGAAGAACAUGGCAGCAGGGAGCGUCCACCGGGGCUCAUUCCUAAGGUACUCAUUCUGUGGACACCGCUUCUAAUGAACGUGCAGAGCAGUCUGCAUACAAUGCCGCUUGGCCUCAGAAGGAUCAGAGCUUUGAUUUUAAAUGUUUUGAAGAAAUUAUAAGUACAUAGAUUUCCUCCCACUGAACCUUGAAGAAAGUGGUUCCAAAAUCCUCCCUCGUCAUGCUUCUCCGCCCUCCACCAGCACCGCACAGUGGUCCCUGUCCUUCCACCUGCCUGGGCAGAGCCUUGUAGCUUGAGAAUGGCGCAGAAGAGGGAUUUUACUUAACUCCAUGCUAUAUCAGUGUCCCGGGGAUCUACACUAGGAAAGCACUACAAACUGAGUGUCUGAAGCAAUGGAAAAAUACAGGUGAUGGACCAAUGAGAAGAGAGAAGAGGAAGAACAUGCUAGGCAGCUGUUUCUAGCUCCCCAGAGGCAGCAUUUGUUGGCUGUAGGAGUCCUGAGGCUGCAGGACAGACAACUUGCACUGAGGUGGCUGUUUUCCAGGUAUAACCCAGGGUGAGGCCUAGAAUAACUCCCAAUUUAAUCUUCUCUGUAUCAUCCAAACCCUGGUGGCCAGCAUGGGCCAGGCUCUUCCAAUUUACUUUAGCUUCGCUGGUAAAUAUUUUCCAGGGCUGACACACAGCAGACUCCUAACUUGUGUAUUCCAAGGCUUAGCACUAAUCCUACCCUCUGUGAGAAGGCUUCUGGGACUUCUUCCAAUCGGGGAGGUUCUCCACUAUCUCUGUGUCCCUGGUUAGCCUGCCUUAUCUUGGGUAUUGUACCAUGGCUGUCGAUCAAGAGACUGAAUAAAUGAG
rnacentral:lncRNA from 1 species